GGAUAGAGGCCUACCAUGGUGGUAACGGGUAACGGGGUGUUAGGGCACGACACCGGAGAGGGAGCCUGAGAAACGGCUACCACAUCCAAGGAUGGCAGCAGGCGCGCAAAUUACCCAAUCCCGACACGGGGAGGUAGUGACAAUAAAUAACAAUACGGGGUUCUUUAGGAUCUCGUAAUGGAAUGAGUACAAUUUAAAUCUCUUAACGAGGAACAAUUGGAGGGCAAGUCUGGUGCCAGCAGCCGCGGUAAUUCCAGCUCCAAUAGCGUAUAUUAAAGUUGUUGCAGUUAAAAAGCUCGUAGUUGAAUUUCGAGAUCGGCUUACCGGUCGUGCUUUUGUACGUACUGGUAUAAUCGGUUUCUCCUUUCUGACGAACUUUAAUGCCAUUAAUUUGGUGUUUUAGGGAAUCAGGACUGUUACUUUGAAAAAAUUAGAGUGUUUAAAGCAGGCUCACGCUUGAAUACAUUAGCAUGGAAUAACGGAAUAGGACGUUUGAUUCUAUUUUGUUGGUCUCUAGGAUCGACGUAAUGAUUAAUAGGGAUAGUUGGGGGCAUUAGUAUUCUAUUGUCAGAGGUGAAAUUCUUGGAUUUAUUGAAGACUAACUACUGCGAAAGCAUUUGCCAAGGAUGUUUUCAUUAAUCAAGAACGAAAGUUAGGGGAUCGAAGACGAUCAGAUACCGUCGUAGUCUUAACCAUAAACUAUGCCGACUAGGGAUCGGAUGA
rnacentral:rRNA from 1 species